rnacentral:rRNA from 1 species
UGCUCCCCGGCGGCCGGGCCCAGCGUGGUUGGGUCGGCCGGACAAGGGCCGCAGGAACGUAGUUCCCCCCGGGGAAUGUUAUAGCCUGCGGUGCGAUGCGGCCAGGCCCGACCGAGGACCGCGCUUCGGCUCGGACGCUGGCGUAAUGGCCGUAAGCGGCCCGUCUUGAAACACGGACCAAGGAGUCUAACAGCCGUGCGAGUGUUUGGGUGUCAAACCCGGGCGCGCAAUGAAAGUGAACGGAGGUGGGAGCCCUUCCGGGCGCACCAUCGACCGAUCCUGAUCUCCUGGGAUGGAUUUGAGUAGGAGCACGGCUGUUGGGACCCGAAAGAUGGUGAACUAUGCCUAAACAGGGCGAAGCCAGAGGAAACUCUGGUGGAGGCUCGCAGCGGUUCUGACGUGCAAAUC